CCGCCGGCGACCGGCGCACGGGUGAGUAACACGUAUGCAACCUGGCCGUGACAGAUGGAUAACCGGGAGAAAUCCCGCCUAAUACAACAUAAUGCCGGGAGGGGACAUCCCCUGCCGGUCAAAGGGGGCGACCCCGGUCACGGAUGGGCAUGCGGCGCAUUAGGUAGUUGGUGGGGCAACGGCCCACCAAGCCGACGAUGCGUAGGGGUUCUGAGAGGAAGGCCCCCCACACUGGUACUGAGACACGGACCAGACUCCUACGGAAGGCAGCAG
rnacentral:rRNA from 1 species